GGUGAGCUACCCCGAGACAGCCUAUGUUAAUUUAGGGCUAACCCGUCUCUGUGGCAAAAGAGUGGGAAGAGCUCCGGGUAGAAGUGAAAGACCUACCGAACCUGGUGAUAGCUGGUUGACUGAGAAAUGGAUAGAAGUUCAGCCUCGCACACCCCAAACCAAAAAAUAUUAUUAUCAAGAUAUUUAGGGAUACGUACGAGAGUUAGUUAAAAGGGGUACAGCCCUUUUAACAAAGGAUACAACCUUUACAGGAGGAUAAAGAUCAUAAUGUAUAAGAUAUACUGUUCUAGUGGGCCUGAAAGCAGCCACCUAUACAGAAAGCGUUAAAGCUCGGACAGAAAGAAAUUUAUUAUUUAGAUAAAAAAUCUUAUUCCCCUAACUAUAUCAGACCAACCCAUGCCUACAUGGAAGAGAUUAUGCUAAAAUGAGUAAUAAGAAGACCCGCUCUUCUCCCAGCACAAGUGUAAGCCAGAUCGGACUAGCCGCUGGAAUUUAACGAACCCAACCCAAGAGGGUAAUGUGAUCAACAAAAAACUCAAGAAGACCUCACAUUAAACAAUCGUUAACCCCACACUGGAGUGCUAUUCUAAGGGAAAGACUAAAAGAAGGGGAAGGAACUCGGCAAACACAAGCCUCGCCUGUUUACCAAAAACAUCGCCUCCUGCAACUGAACUGAGUAUAGGAGGUCCAGCCUGCCCAGUGACUACAGGUUCAACGGCCGCGGUAUCUUGACCGUGCAAAGGUAGCGCAAUCACUUGUCUCUUAAAUAGAGACCUGUAUGAAUGGCUAGACGAGGGCUUAACUGUCUCCCCCCUCCAGUCAGUGAAAUUGAUCUAUCCGUGCAGAAGCGGGUAUAAAUAUACAAGACGAGAAGACCCUUUGGAGCUUAAGGUACAAAUUCAACCACGUUAAACAACUCUAUAAGAAGCAAGAACUUAGUGAUACUGAAAUUUUACCUUCGGUUGGGGCGACCGCGGAGGAAAAACAAGCCUCCGAGUGGACUGGGCCAAACCCCUGAAGCUAAUAGAGACAUCUAUAGGACACAGAAUAUCUGACCAAAAAUGAUCCGGCUAAAAAGCCGAUCAACGAACCAAGUUACCCAAGGGAUAACAGCGCAAUCCCCUCCCAGAGCCCAUAUCUACGAGGGGGUUUACGACCUCGAUGUUGGAUCAGGACAUCCUAAUGGUGC
rnacentral:rRNA from 1 species